AUGAUGGCUGGCUCAUUGUUUUCUGCCUUCUGUUUAAAGCAGGCAACAAUGGCAGAGACGGAGGAGACAUGACCAAUCCCAUGGUACAAAUGAUGAUGUGCUACCCCUGCGAGGACGACGCAAACAGACUGGCCUGAGUGUUGUCUGCUCCGUGUCGGACGACAUCCGCACCACUGCAACCUACGCUAAAGCCAAGUUUUCUCAAAGGAAUAAAUAUCUCAGGAACAUUAGUAUGCAGCGAGGUCUACUAAAUAGUACAUAAAUAAGCCAUUGAGUAUGUGAACAUUGUGCAAACAAUGCCAUUAUUAUUUAACAGAGGUGAACCAUGAGAAACGCGCACAUCCAGGUCUGUGCCAAUCAUGUGGACACCGCUGAACCAACUUUUGGAGAAGACAUUGCUCAAGUCAAGGACUGACUGUGCAUGGAAAAAACAAAGAAAACGUAACAAUGCACCUGACAUAGUAAAUUGAUGUUUGGUGCACUGAAGCCGUAGUAGCAACUGCGCUGUCGUUUGCGCCUACAUUGUCAGCUAGGGUUAGCAGUUUGCUGAUCCAUUUCAUAAAGAUUUAAAUGGAGAUAAUAUUGGACAUGUGGUUUUCCUAGAUGAUACUGAAGAAGCCUUUGUUUUCUCUCACUAACAAAAAUGAGACAGAGUCUGCAAAAUGGCGGGCCCUUGCGCGCUGCCAUCUUCCAGCUCGGGUGCACCCCAGAUAAUCCGAUUAUGAAGGCUUGCUAAAGCGUCACUAAGCUAAUUGACAGAUUGGUACCCUGAGAGCACGUUUCCCUACCCAUGGUGGCUAGACUACUUUUGGAAACAUGACUGCUUGCAAACGUGUAUAGCUGAUUGUGUCAUUCAGCUAUAUGGUAAUGUACCUUACACCAAAGAGUGCUCGGUGGUGUAAAACAAAAUGUACCACCUUUCUUUAAGAAGUGGUCAAUCCUAACGCUGCCCAAACCAUUCCACAUAUAAAGCAGAGGACAGGUUCAUAAAAAGUGCUAGGGUUAGAGUGCGCAAACAGCAAGCAUUCUAAUGUAUCCUUUGACCAGAAAGCAUAGAUAAAUAAACAAAAUAAAUUAAAUUGUAAAAUAAAAAUGACUAGUACAGCAGAAUUAUGCAAACAUGAGGUUGCAGCAAUACAAAGCAAACAUAUGCACCGUCAAAUUAAAAAUAUCCACUUCACCAUCCCUUAGGCUAUAACUGUCCUUGUGCGAGGAAGCAUACCACAACUAGCAGCUUUGUAAAAUUAAAAA